rnacentral:rRNA from 1 species
AGGGGGCAAGCGUUGUUCGGAAUUACUGGGCGUAAAGAGUGUGUAGGCGGUGCUCUAAGUCCGGUGUGAAAUCUCCCGGCUCAACUGGGAGGGUGCCCCGGAUACUGGAGUGCUUGAGGGUGGGAGAGGGUGAUGGAAUUCCCGGUGUAGCGGUGAAAUGCGUAGAUAUCAGGAGGAACACCUGUGGUGAAGGCGGCUUUCUGGACCUGUUCUGACGCUGAGGCACGAAAGCUUGGGUAGCAAACAGGAUUAGAUACCCUGGUAGUCCACGCCCUAAACGAUGCAUACUUGGUGUCGGCGGUUCCGUUUCUCUGUGC